rnacentral:rRNA from 1 species
CCUACGGGAGGCAGCAGUGGGGAAUUUUGGACAAUGGGCGCAAGCCUGAUCCAGCAAUGCCGCGUGCAGGAUGAAGGCCUUCGGGUUGUAAACUGCUUUUGCACGGAACGAAACGGCUCCUAUUAAUACUGGGGGCUAAUGACGGUACCGUAAGAAUAAGCACCGGCUAACUACGUGCCAGCAGCCGCGGUAAUACGUAGGGUGCGAGCGUUAAUCGGAAUUACUGGGCGUAAAGCGUGCGCAGGCGGUUAUAUAAGACAGAUGUGAAAUCCCCGGGCUCAACCUGGGACCUGCAUUUGUGACUGUAUAGCUAGAGUACGGUAGAGGGGGAUGGAAUUCCGCGUGUAGCAGUGAAAUGCGUAGAUAUGCGGAGGAACACCGAUGGCGAAGGCAAUCCCCUGGACCUGUACUGACGCUCAUGCACGAAAGCGUGGGGAGCAAACAGGAUUAGAUACCCUGGUAGUCCACGCCCUAAACGAUGUCAACUGGUUGUUGGGUCUUCACUGACUCAGUAACGAAGCUAACGCGUGAAGUUGACCGCCUGGGGAGUACGGCCGCAAGGUUGAAACGUCAAAGGAAUUGACGG